rnacentral:misc_RNA from 1 species
GAUGAAGAACGUAGCGAAAUGCGAUAAGUAAUGCGAAUUGCAGAAUUCAGUGAGUCAUCGAAUCUUUGAACGCACAUUGCGCCCCUUGGUAUUCCGGGGGGCAUGCCUGUUCGAGCGUCAUUAUAACCCCUCAAGCUCAGCUUGGUGUUGGGGCCUGCCGACUGGCAGCCCUUAAAAUCAGUGGCGGCGCCAUCUGGCUCUAAGCGUAGUAAUUUCUCUCGCUAUAGAGUCCCGGUGGAUGCUUGCCAGCAACCCCCAACUUUCUAUGGUUGACCUCGGAUCAGGUAGGGAUACCCGCUGAACUUAAGCAUAUCAAUAAGCGGAGGA